CUCCGUGAGCCGCUUGGUGUGUGUGUGGCGUGGGUCUGCAGCUUCUGAGGAGAUGAAUGGGAAACGGCCCCCUGACCCUAACCCGGACCGGAUGGGAAAAAAGAGGAAGAAGGAGGUGAUGGUGGAGUUUUCGGACGCGGUUACGGAGGAAGCCUUGAAGAAGCAGGUGGCUGAGGCCUGGAGCUGCAGGACGCCGUUCAGUCACGAAGCCAUUAUCAUGGACAUGGACCCCUUUCUGCAUUGCGUGAUCCCAAACUUCAUCCCAAGUCAAAACUUCUUGGAAGGGCUUCAGAAGGAGCUCUUGAGCUUGGACUUCCAUGAGAAGUAUAAUGAUUUAUAUAAGUUCCAGCAGUCUGACGAUUUGAAGGAGAGAAAAGAACCUCACAUCUGUGCUUUAAGGAAAGUUCUGUUUGAAGAUUUCCGGGCUUGGCUUUCUGACAUUUCCAAGAUUGACCUGGAAUCAACCAUUGACAUGUCCUGUGCUAAAUAUGAAUUCUCAGAUGCCCUGCUCUGCCACGAUGAUGAGCUGGAGGGGCGCCGGAUCGCCUUCAUCCUUUACCUGGUUCCUCCCUGGGACAGGAGCUUGGGGGGCACCCUGGAUCUGUACAGCGUUGAUGAACACUUCCAGCCGAAGCAGAUUGUCAAGUCCCUUAUCCCUUCGUGGAACACACUGGUUUUCUUUGAAGUGUCUCCAGUGUCCUUUCACCAGGUGUCGGAAGUCCUGUCUGAAGAAAAGUCACGUCUGUCUAUCAGCGGCUGGUUUCAUGGUCCUUCCCUGGCCAGGCCUCCCACCUACUUUGAACCUCCCAUACCUCGGAGCCCCCAUAUCCCGCGAGAUCAUGAAAUUUUGUAUGAGUGGAUCAACCCUACUUAUCUGGACAUGGAUUACCAAAUUCAAAUUCAAGACGAGUUUGAACAACAGUCCGAAAUUCUCCUGAAGGAGUUCCUGAAGCCCGAGAAAUUUGCAGCGGUCUGUGAGGCUUUGGAGAAAGGAGGUGUGAAAUGGAACAGCCGAGGACCCCCUAACAAAAGGUUCUAUGAGAAAGCCGAGGAGAGCACGCUUCCCGACAUUCUCCAGGACUGCAUGACAUUAUUUCACUCCGAGGCAUUGUUCUUGCUGCUGUCCAACUUCACAGGCCUGAAACUUCAUUUCUUGGCCCCUUCCGAGGAAGAGGAGACAGAGGGCACAAAAGAGGGAGAAGCAGCCACUGGUUCUGAGAGCAGUGAAGAAGGGACGAGCUAUAGCUCCUCGGAGCCAGAGAAUAAUCUGGCAGCUGCCAGCAACAACAGCCAGCAGAGCAGUGAGCAGGCAGACCCAGAGCCCGAGGAAAACAAAGCCAAGGAAGAAUCAAGUGUUCCCAUGUGCCAGGGGGAACUGAGGCGUUGGCAGACUGGUCACUACACUUUAAUCCAUGACAACAGCAAGACUGAAUUUGCUCUGGACUUACUUCUUUACUGUGGUUGUGAAGGCUGGGAGCCUGAAUAUGGUGGCUUUACUUCCUACAUUGCCAAAGGGGAAGAUGAAGAGCUGCUAACAGUGAAUCCAGAAAACAAUUCUUUGGCAUUGGUCUACAGAGAUAGAGAGACUCUUAAAUUUGUCAAGCAUGUUAACCACCGAAGCCUAGAACAAAAGAAAACCUUCCCAAACAGAACAGGUUUCUGGGACUUCUCAUUCGUCUACUAUGAAUGACGGGGCUGGGCGAAGCUGAGAAGAGAGACCCUUCAUCGGCACUGGAAAGGCUGGAAGAGCUGGCAUCCAGCAAAGGAGAGCUACAAGAACCAACAGAGGAGACCGAGAAGCAGCCGCCAUUGAUGAAGAAGGACCCGGCGAGUAUAGUGCCCUGGAGGCCACAGGAAGAGAGGGUUGCCAGGAGGAGUAUAACUAGGUCAGAUGCUAGGUAGGGGCAUUGAUGGGAAGAUGUGACCAGAGCUGUGCCCACAAUGACCUGUGGGCCCUGCCAAGGCAAGGCAGACCCAAGAGCCUUCGGAUGCUUUUGAAACUAGAAGAGGCCACAGCGGGAAGAGGCCGCAGCGGGAUGGGGGUCAGCCCAGCAUCCGAGGAGCAGAGGGACCGGCCCCUGGCCCAGCACGCUCCCAGGGUUCAGAUCAAAGCUGAUGGCGGGAGUGCAUUCAUUCCAGUUUCCUAGGUGUGUGCUCCUUACAGUGCCCUGGAGCCGUACCUGGGCGUGGGCAGCAUCAGACGCUGGCUGAGGCCUGACUCAGCAUUCGUAACCACCUCUUUGGGCAGGAAGCCACCUCUGGCGCACCGCUCUGGGAGGCUUGAGUUUUUCCACCUUCGGAUGAACUCCUGUAGCUGAAAGCAGCGUGCGGCUGGCGGAUCUGAGCACCACUUCUCCAAGGGGCAGAGCAGGCCCGAGGAGACUCCCAAGUUCCGUUUCUACUACAGUCCUGGCCUUUCCAAGCAGGAAGGGGCCAGACAGAUCACCAACCUGGGCCAUUUAUUUAUUCUUGUUGUCCUGUCCCUUCACUCACCCACCCUCACCUCUUUAACACAGCAGGUCUUUUUUAAAAAUAUGUAAUUUAUUGCCCGGCU